rnacentral:rRNA from 1 species
GACAGAGGUGCCGAGCGUUAGGCGGAAUCACUGGGCUUAAAGCGUGUGUAGGCUGAUCUGUAAGUACCUUGUGAAAUCCCACGGCUCAACCGUGGAACUGCUUGGUAUACUGCGGGUCUUGAGCCACCUAGGGGCAAGUGGAACAAACGGUGGAGCGGUGAAAUGCGUAGAUAUCGGAAGGAACGCCGGUGGCGAAAGCGACGUGCUGGACCUCUUCUGACGCUGAGGCGCGAAAGCCAGGGGAGCGAACGGG